CAGUCGAGCGAUUCUCUUCGGAGAAGAGCGGCGGACGGGUGAGUAACGCGUGGGUAACCUGCCUCAUACACAUGGAUAACAUACCGAAAGGUAUGCUAAUACAAGAUAACAUAAGAGAUUCGCAUGGAUUUCUUAUCAAAGCUCCGGCGGUAUGAGAUGGACCCGCGUCUGAUUAGCUAGUUGGUAAGGUAACGGCUUACCAAGGCGACGAUCAGUAGCCGACCUGAGAGGGUGAUCGGCCACAUUGGAACUGAGACACGGUCCAAACUCCUACGGGAGGCAGCAGUGGGGAAUAUUGCACAAUGGGCGAAAGCCUGAUGCAGCAACGCCGCGUGAGUGAUGAAGGCCUUCGGGUCGUAAAACUCUGUCCUCAAGGAAGAUAAUGACGGUACUUGAGGAGGAAGCCCCGGCUAACUACGUGCCAGCAGCCGCGGUAAUACGUAGGGGGCUAGCGUUAUCCGGAUUUACUGGGCGUAAAGGGUGCGUAGGUGGUUUCUUAAGUCAGGAGUGAAAGGCUACGGCUCAACCGUAGUAAGCUCUUGAAACUGGGAAACUUGAGUGCAGGAGAGGAAAGUGGAAUUCCUAGUGUAGCGGUGAAAUGCGUAGAUAUUAGGAGGAACACCAGUAGCGAAGGCGGCUUUCUGGACUGUAACUGACACUGAGGCACGAAAGCGUGGGGAGCAAACAGGAUUAGAUACCCUGGUAGUCCACGCCGUAAACGAUGAGUACUAGGUGUCGGGGGUUACCCCCCUCGGUGCCGCAGCUAACGCAUUAAGUACUC
rnacentral:rRNA from 1 species